UUUAGUUGUAGGGUCAAGAAUACUAGGGAAUAACAAGGAAGAGCCUGUCUUCUUCAUUCUCAGUCCUAGCAGUGCUGGCACAGUCUCUUCUGAUGUUCAUUUGAACAAAACACCUGAAGACACUCAGGAGAUGCACAAAAGCUGACAGGCGGCUCAGUGAAGGAAGCACACCCAGGGCACUUGGAGUUUGCCCCUCGUGCUCUUAUUUGACGUACAACAAAACCUGUUCACUUAGAAGCUACCAGGAGCUAUUUUAAGGAUGAGGAAACUCAAGUACUGGCAGUUCCUAACCCCAGUGCCGGGUUAACCCAGGGGACCAAUUGACGCCCAGUACAACUGUUUCUCACUGCAGAAACUGCCAAGCCAUCAUAAUUUUAGCUCGUAUUAUGACGCAGAGAGGAAAACAAAAGGAUGAUUUAUUUGAAGAUUAAAAUUGUGCCUAUUUUAUGGACUCUGUAAGCUGUCGGAAACUCAAUUUUCGAGCCCUUUGAACUCAGCGUUGCCUCCAGAGUAUUUAAGGCAACCAGA